UUGGAUUGGUGCAAAAAUCUGGAAAGCCAAGGUCAAGGUUCACAAGUGUAUGGGAUCAACACUGAGCAGCAGCUGUUACUGUUACUAUUGUGACAAUAAGCCCUGAAGAUAGAUUAUUGCCUGCAACUAUUGAAAGGAAAUCAAAGAUUUAUUCGUUGCUUUUUUAGCUAAGGAAAGAAUAACUAAAACCUGGAAUUUAGUAAGAUAAUUAGUUUUCUAGUUUAUGAAAUUGUUCUUCUUAAUUUUCCUAGAUUUUAUUAGUAGUAAUAUUUAGUCACUUACUUCAAUUAAUGGUGUUUAUUGUAUUUAUGUAUCCUCCUGUAUUUUUGAAGCUUGCACUUACUAUGGUGAAAUGAUGGAUUUUACAGGCGU
rnacentral:sRNA from 1 species